UAAAAUAAUCAUGAUCUGGAGGGAAGCCCCU
rnacentral:piRNA from 1 species